CCCAGACUUUCAUUUAUUUAGUUACUUAAAACAAUAUUAUAUAAGUAAAAGAAUUGAAACUAGCCCAUAAGUAAGUACUGAAAAGGAAAAUUUCAUUAAUUCCAAAGAAUUUAGUUUUGUACCUUUUGUAUCAGGGUUUAUUUAAUUUUGACCGACAUCGUCCAAUCCCGAAAUAGGGUGAUUUACUUUAAUUAAAAAUGACUGUUUCAUAAGUCUGUUAAAAAUUAGAGUCGUUGUAAAAAAUAUUUCGUACCUUUAUAUCUGGUUGGUAGAAUACUCCUUUAGGGUACUCCGCAGGGAAAAUUUUCUAGGGGACGAGCUCUAGGAAAAGUUGUAUUAAAACCUCAUCAAUGAAACAAAUAGGCUUAAAAGUUGCCGGGGUGUAAUAACUAUUUUCAUUAAAGUAGCAAUUUGAAAUUAAUCAACAUAAACUAGCCGGCGUUUAUUAUUAAAAUUUAGCAGUCAUAAUGAUAAAAUUAGUAGAAUUAAAAAAAGAUAGUAGAAUCUAUUCUAGAAAGACUGGAAGGAAUUCGGCAAAACUUGCCUCCGCCUGUUUAACAAAAA
rnacentral:rRNA from 1 species